rnacentral:rRNA from 1 species
AUUGAACGCUGGCGGCAUGCUUUACACAUGCAAGUCGAACGGUAACAGGGAGCUGCUCCGCUGACGAGUGGCGAACGGGUGAGUAAUGCGUCGGAACGUGCCGAGUAGUGGGGGAUAACGCAGCGAAAGUUGUGCUAAUACCGCAUACGUACUGAGGUAGAAAGUGGGGGACCUUCGGGCCUCACGCUAUUCGAGCGGCCGACGUCUGAUUAGCUAGUAGGUGAGGUAAAGGCUCACCUAGGCGACGAUCAGUAGCGGGUCUGAGAGGAUGAUCCGCCACACUGGGACUGAGACACGGCCCAGACUCCUACGGGAGGCAGCAGUGGGGAAUUUUGGACAAUGGGCGAAAGCCUGAUCCAGCCAUGCCGCGUGUCUGAAGAAGGCCUUCGGGUUGUAAAGGACUUUUGUCGGGGAGGAAAUCCCCAGCGCUAAUACCGCUGGGGGAUGACAGUACCUGAAGAAUAAGCACCGGCUAACUUCGUGCCAGCCGCCGCCGUAAGAC